GCCGUUAGCGGCGCUGUUAUCUGCCUCCUCCGCCAAGGAGAACAAAUGCACGCCCCGCGGUCCCCCAGCCCCAUUGUCAUUCAAAGAGCCUGCGCUCCUGCGCUCCUGCGCUCCGCAGCCCGCGAAACUGCCUCCCAGGCUCCCGGCUGCAGAGGGAUUCAGCGAGACUGCGGGGGAGGAGACAAUGCGCAGGAGGAGGGGCUUGGGAGUUUCUAGAGACCCCUGCGGUGGCAAUAGGGCCCAGGAAGACCCACCCCCCCCAACUCUCAUUGUCUGACUCAGUGACUCAGCUGGGGGCUGGGGCUGGAAGCUGGAGCGGAGUGCGGGUGUCUGUCUUGAGUUUGCACCUUCUGGAAUCUGGAAGAAACUCCGCGGUUCUCCUGGGCCAGUUGAGGGGCCUCCUUCAACCACCUAGCUAACUGUGCCCCAAGCCUGCCGUGCCUGCAUCCAGGCCAAGGAGGAGGGCUUCAGGGGCUCAGAGGAUGCAUCCCCAAACCCUUGGAAUGGCUUUGGAUGAACCACAUUCUGAGAUCCUGGGGCUCACCAGAGACUAUCCCCACCCCACCAGGAGGAGGCGUUCUGUCCAGGUUUGGCGAGAUGAAGACGUUUCCUAGUAGAAAACUAAAGGGUGAAGAGCAAAAGAAAUGGCCCAG
rnacentral:lncRNA from 1 species